UGGUACAAUGGUUAAGUGCUUGGCUGCUAACCAAAAGGUUGGUGGUUCAAAUCCACC
rnacentral:tRNA from 1 species